rnacentral:tRNA from 1 species
GCCCUGAUGGUCUAGCGGUAUGAUUCUCCCUUAGGGUUAUCUUCGAUAUCUUGCUUGGGAGAGGUCCCAGGUUCGAUCCCUGGUUAGGGCC